UGCGUAGGCGGCGCGGUAAGUCGGGUGUGAAAUCUCGGAGCUUAACUCCGAAACUGCAUUCGAUACUGCUUUGCUUGAGGACUCGAGAGGAGAUUGGAAUUCACGGUGUAGCAGUGAAAUGCGUAGAUAUCGUGAGGAAGACCAGUGGCGAAGGCGGAUCUCUGGGGGAGUUCCUGACGCUGAGGACAAGGCCAGGGGAGCAAC
rnacentral:rRNA from 1 species